rnacentral:rRNA from 1 species
AUUGCACGCUGGCGGCAGGCCUAACACAUGCAAGUCGAACGAGUGGCGGACGGGAGAGUAAUGUCUGGGAAACUGCCCGAUGGAGGGGGAUCACUACUGGAAACGGUAGCUAAUACCGCAUACCAUCGGAUGUGCCCAGAUGGGAUUAGCUAGUAGGGGGGGUAACGGCUCACCUAGGCGACGAUCCCUCGCUGGUCUGAGAGGAUGACAAGCCACACGGGAACUGGGACACGGUACAGACUCCUACGGGAGGCAGCAGUGGGGAAUAUUGCACAAUGGGCGAAAGCCUGAUGCAGACAUGCCGCGUGUAUGAAGAAGGUCUUAGGAUUGUAAAGUACUUUCAGCGGGGAGGCGGUACUCGCAGAAGAAGCACCGGCUAACUUCGUGCCAGCAGCCGCGGUAAUAC